AUUGAACGCUGGCGGCAGGCCUAACACAUGCAAGUCGAGCGGAUGAAGGGAGCUUGCUCCUGGAUUCAGCGGCGGACGGGUGUGUAAUGCCUAUGAAUCUGCCUGGUAGUGGGGGAUAACGUCCGGAAACGGGCGCUAAUACCGCAUACGUCCUGAGGGAGAAAGUGGGGGAUCUUCGGACCUCACGCUAUCUGAUGAUCCUAGGUCGGAUUAGCUAGUUGGUGGGGUAAAGGCCUACCAAGGCGACGAUCCGUAACUGGUCUGAGAGGAUGAUCAGUCACACUGGAACUGAGACACGGUCCAGACUCCUACGGGAGGCAGCAGUGGGGAAUAUUGGACAAUGGGCGAAAGCCUGAUCCAGCCAUGCCGCGUGUGUGAAGAAGGUCUUCGGAUUGUAAAGCACUUUAAGUUGGGAGGAAGGGCAGUAAGUUAAUACCUUGCUGUUUUGACGUUACCAACAGAAUAAGCACCGGCUAACUUCGUG
rnacentral:rRNA from 1 species